CAUCGCAGGUGUGAGUUUGGGGGGCUGGUAAUUGUUGACUGCUGAGCCAGCUCUCCCCGCAUAUGGUCCCGGGGAGGCAGCAGCGGCCCGCGUGGUCCCCCGCCAGGGCCGGCGCUCUGCGCCCUCCAGCGCCUUCAGCCGGUUCCCGCGUGUGAGCCUCAGAGCAACUAAGCCAGGGAGGUCAGGGCAUUAUCGGAUUCGCUUUACCAGCGUGGAAACCGAGAACCAGAGGUUAAGUCGCCGGUCCAGACUCCCGGAGCCAGUCAAUAGUGGGCCUGAACCAGCCCUCUAGGUCACUCGACUCUUAAUUCCAUUUUCCUCGCGUGACCCGCGGCGCCGUGCGGUUCAGCAAACAUUUAUGGAGAGCCUUGUGUGACUCAGGCGCGGAGCUGGGUGAGCUGGCUGCCGGGGGUGCCGACCUGCGCUCUGGCUCUUUUAAUGGGAGGGUGCAAUUUUAACCCUCCGGUUUGGCCCCGAGGUUCCCCAGUCAUACCCCACAACCCAGUGUCAGACACCCAGGUACCUGAGGUGUUUCUCUGGACCCCAGGUCUGGCCGGCUCACACCUGAUGAUUUGCUGGGCCAGACUCCAUGGCUUGCCGUGCAAGGCCUUUCUGAAUCUGGCCUCAGUCUACCUUUGUGGCGCCAUUCUUCCCUGUACCCUCCUGGACCCCUGGGUCUAGCUGCCCAGGUCGACCACCCACUGUUCUACAGCUGUGCUCGGGACCUCAAUGCUCCUUUCCAGCCAGGAACGUGGCUUGUCUAAACCUACUGCUGCAUUGGCUCUUCGUUGCUGUGCGCAGGCUUUCUCUCUAGUUGCGGAGCGGAACCAGCAGGCCUCUUUUCCUUGCCUUUUGGGACCAGAAGGCAGUGAACCAGGAUGGGACAUGCCUCUUCAUAGAGUCAGACACACACAGGUGUCUUAAAGAGGAACGUGCAUCUCUGAGACUGUCAUCAAAAUUUUUAUUUCAAGUCUGCAUGACAUGAGGAUAGUUGGAUUUCUGUCCUGUUGGAUUUCUGUCCUUUUGGUGUUUAUGGAGGACACAAAAAAGAAUUACUCUGAGUAAACAGAGAAGAUUAAAGGCCUUCCUCCAUGGGGCACACCGUUCAUGAGGCAGCAAGCCAGGAGAGUUGUUUCUGGGAUUUUGUGAUGCAGCUGCAGCCCUGAACCACAUCUCAUUUCCGAGUUGUUGCCGUUGGGGCUCCUCAGCUUCUGAGUCUUAGCAUCCAGAGGCUCUGAUCUCAAUCCAUGUGUAUGUGCUGGGAGUGUCCCUGCCAGC